rnacentral:rRNA from 1 species
AUUGAACGCUGGCGGCAUGCCUUACACAUGCAAGUCGAACGGCAGCACGGGAGCAAUCCUGGUGGCGAGUGGCGAACGGGUGAGUAAAGCAUCGGAACGUGCCCAGUCGUGGGGGAUAACGUAGCGAAAGCUACGCUAAUACCGCAUACGAUCUGUGGAUGAAAGCGGGGGACCGUAAGGCCUCGCGCGAUUGGACCGGCCGAUGUCAGAUUAGGUAGUUGGUGAGGUAAAGGCUCACCAAGCCGACGAUCUGUAGCUGGUCUGAGAGGACGACCAGCCACACUGGGACUGAGACACGGCCCAGACUCCUACGGGAGGCAGCAGUGGGGAAUUUUGGACAAUGGGCGCAAGCCUGAUCCAGCAAUGCCGCGUGCAGGAUGAAGGCCUUCGGGUUGUAAACUGCUUUUGUACGGAGCGAAAAGGCUUCCACUAAUACUGGGGGCUCAUGACGGUACCGUAAGAAUAAGCACCGGCUAACUACGUGCCAGCCGCCGCGGUAAUAC